AGCUGAGUUGGUUGACUAACUGUUUCCAGGUUAGGUAACUUACAACACUAGAUAGCUGAGAUGGUUAACUAACUGUUUCCAGGUUAGGUAACUUACGACAAUAGAUAAAUGAGAUGGUUGACUAACUGUUUCCAGGUUAGGUAACUUAUGAGACUAGAUAGCUGAGAUGGUUGACUAACUGUUUCCAGGUUAGGUAACUUACAACACUAGAUAACUGAGAUGGUUGACUAACUGUUUCCAGGUUAGGUAACUUACAACACUAGAUAGCUGAGAUGGUUGACUUGUUCCAGGUUAGGUAACUUACAACACUAGAUAGCUGAGAUGGUUGACAAACUGUUUCCUGGUUAGGUAACUUAUGACACUACAUAGCUGAGAUAACUGAGAUGGCUUACCUACUAAUUGUCUACAGGUAAAUAAAAAACCCUA